UUUCCGGUUGAUCCUGCCAGAGGUCACUGCUAUCGGUGUUCGACUAAGCCAUGCGAGUCAAAUGUUCUUCGUGAACAUGGCGUACUGCUCAGUAACACGUGGAUAACCUGCCCUUAGGUCUGGCAUAACCCCGGGAAACUGGGGAUAAUUCCGGAUAGAUCAUCGAUGCUGGAAUGCGCUUCGAUCCAAAGCUAUUGUGCCUAAGGAUGGGUCUGCGGUCUAUCAGGUUGUAGUGGGUGUAAUGUACCUACUAGCCUACGACGGAUACGGGUUGUGGGAGCAAGAGCCCGGAGAUGGAUUCUGAGACAUGAAUCCAGGCCCUACGGGGCGCAGCAGGCGCGAAAACUUUACAAUGCGGGGAACCGCGAUAAGGGGACACCGAGUGCCAGCAUCCUAUGUUGGCUGUCCAUAUGUCUAAAUCACAUGUGUUAGCAAGGGCCGGGCAAGACCGGUGCCAGCCGCCGCGGUAACACCGGCGGCCCGAGUGGUGGCCACUAUUAUUGGGUCUAAAGGGUCCGUAGCCGGUUUGGUCAGUCUUCCGGGAAAUCUGACGGCUCAACCGUUAGGCUUUCGGGGGAUACUACCAGGCUUGGGACCGGGAGAGGUAAGAGGUACUACGGGGGUAGGAGUGAAAUCUUGUAAUCCCUGUGGGACCACCAGUGGCGAAGGCGUCUUACCAGAACGGGUCCGACGGUGAGGGACGAAAGCUGGGGGCACGAACCGGAUUAGAUACCCGGGUAGUCCCAGCUGUAAACUAUGCUCGCUAGGUGUCAGGGACGGUGCGACUGUUUCUGGUGCCGCAGGGAAGCCGUGAAGCGAGCCACCUGGGAAGUACGGUCGCAAGGCUGAAACUUAAAGGAAUUGGCGGGGGAGCACUACAACGGGUGGAGCCUGCGGUUUAAUUGGACUCAACGCCGGG
rnacentral:rRNA from 1 species